rnacentral:rRNA from 1 species
GAUGAACGCUGGCUACAGGCUUAACACAUGCAAGUCGAGGGGAAACGACGGGGAAGCUUGCUUCCCCGGGCGUCGACCGGCGCACGGGUGAGUAACGCGUAUCCAACCUGCCUCUGACUGAGGGAUAACCCGUCGAAAGUCGGCCUAAUACCUCAUGGUAUCGUCUGCGGGCAUCCAACGACGAUUAAAGAUUUCAUCGGUCAGGGAUGGGGAUGCGUCUGAUUAGCUUGUUGGCGGGGUAACGGCCCACCAAGGCUACGAUCAGUAGGGGUUCUGAGAGGAAGGUCCCCCACAUUGGAACUGAGACACGGUCCAAACUCCUACGGGAGGCAGCAGUGAGGAAUAUUGGUCAAUGGGCGAGAGCCUGAACCAGCCAAGUAGCGUGCAGGAAGACGGCCCUAUGGGUUGUAAACUGCUUUUAUGCGGGGAUAAAGUGAGGGACGUGUCCCUCAUUGCAGGUACCGCAUGAAUAAGGACCGGCUAAUUCCGUG